rnacentral:lncRNA from 1 species
ACGUUAUAGAGUAGAAAAAAUAGCACCGUAAUGCUGUUUUCUUUUGCUGCUACAGGAGCUUGAGUGGAGAGAUGAUCAAUGCCGAGAAAGCAUCACCUUCUGUGAUCAGAGGAAAGUAGUGAAUGUAUGAAAUCCUACAGGAAAAGCAGAGAUGAGGAGUAGGUAACUCAGCAGAGCAGAGCAGAGGGACUGAGUCUUCCCAGCCUGCCUGACGCCUUCCAGGCCAGCAAAAGCUCCUUAGGGGUCUUAUCAGUGUGGAAUGACGGUGUGAAGCGAGCGAUGUAUUCUGAUGUAUGCAGUUCAUAGCAGGAAAAGACUGUAAGUUGACAGGUCAUGUACUCAAAAACACGUGAGUAGCAAUUUGUUUGG